rnacentral:rRNA from 1 species
GACGAACGCUGGCGGCGUGCUUAACACAUGCAAGUCGAACGCUGAACCCGCUUCGGUGGGGGAUGAGUGGCGAACGGGAGAGUAACACGUGGGCAACCUGCCCCCGGCUCUGGGAUAACUCCAAGAAAUUGGGGCUAAUACCGGAUGUGACCGCUGGCCGCAUGGUCUGGUGGUGGAAAGGGUUUCCGGCUGGGGAUGGGCCCGCGGCCUAUCAGCUUGUUGGUGGGGUAGUGGCCUACCAAGGCGACGACGGGUAGCCGGCCUGAGAGGGUGACCGGCCACACUGGGACUGAGACACGGCCCAGACUCCUACGGGAGGCAGCAGUGGGGAAUAUUGCGCAAUGGGCGGAAGCCUGACGCAGCGACGCCGCGUGGGGGAUGACGGCCUUCGGGUUGUAAACCUCUUUCAGCAGGGACGAAGCGCAAGUGACGGUACCUGCAGAAGAAGCACCGGCCAACUACGUG